rnacentral:rRNA from 1 species
UCGAACGGCACCCCUCUCCGGAGGGAAGCGAGUGGCGAACGGCUGAGUAACACGUGGAGAACCUGCCCCCUCCCCCGGGAUAGCCGCCCGAAAGGACGGGUAAUACCGGAUACCCCCGGGCGCCGCAUGGCGCCCGGGCUAAAGCCCCGACGGGAGGGGAUGGCUCCGCGGCCCAUCAGGUAGACGGCGGGGUGACGGCCCACCGUGCCGACAACGGGUAGCCGGGUUGAGAGACCGACCGGCCAGAUUGGGACUGAGACACGGCCCAGACUCCUACGAGAGGCAGCAUG